rnacentral:rRNA from 1 species
GAUGAACGAUGGCGGCGUGCCUAAUACAUGCAAGUCGAGCGAACGGACGAGAAGCUUGCUUCUCUGAUGUUAGCGGCGGACGGGUGAGUAACACGUGGAUAACCUACCUAUAAGACUGGGAUAACUUCGGGAAACCGGAGCUAAUACCGGAUAAUAUUUUGAACCGCAUGGUUCAAAAGUGAAAGACGGUCUUGCUGUCACUUAUAGAUGGAUCCGCGCUGCAUUAGCUAGUUGGUAAGGUAACGGCUUACCAAGGCAACGAUGCAUAGCCGACCUGAGAGGGUGAUCGGCCACACUGGAACUGAGACACGGUCCAGACUCCUACGGGAGGCAGCAGUAGGGAAUCUUCCGCAAUGGGCGAAAGCCUGACGGAGCAACGCCGCGUGAGUGAUGAGGGUCUUCGGAUCGUAAAACUCUGUUAUUAGGGAAGAACAUAUGUGUAAGUAACUGUGCACAUCUUGACGGUACCUAAUCAGAAAGCCACGGCUAACUACGUG